rnacentral:rRNA from 1 species
UACGUAGGGUGCAAGCGUUAAUCGGAAUUACUGGGCGUAAAGCGUGCGCAGGCGGUUUUGUAAGUCUGACGUGAAAUCCCCGGGCUCAACCUGGGAAUUGCGUUGGAGACUGCAAGGCUAGAAUCUGGCAGAGGGGGGUAGAAUUCCACGUGUAGCAGUGAAAUGCGUAGAGAUGUGGAGGAACACCGAUGGCGAAGGCAGCCCCCUGGGUCAAGAUUGACGCUCAUGCACGAAAGCGUGGGGAUCGAACAGG